AGUGAACGCUGGCGGUAGGCCUAACACAUGCAAGUCGAACGGCAGCACAGUAAGAGCUUGCUCUUACGGGUGGCGAGUGGCGGACGGGUGAGGAAUACAUCGGAAUCUACUUUUUCGUGGGGGAUAACGUAGGGAAACUUACGCUAAUACCGCAUACGACCUACGGGUGAAAGCAGGGGAUCUUCGGACCUUGCGCGAUUGAAUGAGCCGCUGUCGGAUUAGCUAGUUGGCGGGGUAAAGGCCCACCAAGGCGACGAUCCGUAGCUGGUCUGAGAGGAUGAUCAGCCACACUGGAACUGAGACACGUUCCAGACUCCUACGGGAGGCAGCAGUGGGGAAUAUUGGACAAUGGGCGCAAGCCUGAUCCAGCCAUACCGCGUGGGUGAAGAAGGCCUUCGGGUUGUAAAGCCCUUUUGUUGGGAAAGAAAAGCAGCAGGUUAAUACCCCGCUGUUCUGACGGUACCCAAAGAAUAAGCACCGGCUAACUUCGUG
rnacentral:rRNA from 1 species